rfam:Myotis davidii contig18000, whole genome shotgun sequence.
CUCAGAGGGGUGGGGGCCCUCAGCCCAGAUUGUGAGAGGGCGCAGGCCAGGCUGAGGGACCCCACCAGUGCACA